UCUCCGUUGGUGAACCAGCGGAGGGAUCAUUACCGAGUUUACAACUCCCAAACCCAAUGUGAACGUUACCAAACUGUUGCCUCGGCGGGAUCUCUGCCCCGGGUGCGUCGCAGCCCCGGACCAAGGCGCCCGCCGGAGGACCAACCAAAACUCUUAUUGUAUGCCCCCUCGCGGGUUUUUUACUAUCUGAGCCAUCUCGGCGCCCCUCGUGGGCGUUUCGAAAAUGAAUCAAAACUUUCAACAACGGAUCUCUUGGUUCUGGCAUCGAUGAAGAACGCAGCGAAAUGCGAUAAGUAAUGUGAAUUGCAGAAUUCAGUGAAUCAUCGAAUCUUUGAACGCACAUUGCGCCCGCCAGUAUUCUGGCGGGCAUGCCUGUCCGAGCGUCAUUUCAACCCUCGAACCCCUCCGGGGGGUCGGCGUUGGGGAUCGGCCCUUUACGGGGCCGGCCCCGAAAUACAGUGGCGGUCUCGCCGCAGCCUCUCCUGCGCAGUAGUUUGCACACUCGCAUCGGGAGCGCGGCGCGUCCACAGCCGUUAAACACCCCAAACUUCUGAAAUGUUGACCUCGGAUCAGGUAGGAAUACCCGCUGAACUUAA
rnacentral:rRNA from 1 species